ACUCUAUAUAGGUGUUUUACCCGCGAAGUAACUUCGCGGAGUCAAUUCGUCAGCCUCCGGAGCGAGUUGUGUCUGAACAGCGCGCUCCGCUUCAAGCCUCGUUCCUGCUCAAGCCUUGUCCUUGUUUCCAGCCUUCGCUCCUGUUUCCCAGCCUUUGUUUACCUACGGACCUUGCCUUGUUUCCCAGGACUAAACCUUGCCUUGUUUCACGGAUUUUACCAAGUUAUUCCACGGACCUUGUUCUUGUUCCUCGUUACCUUGUUCCACGAUUCAAGCCUCGUUCCUGCUCAAGCCUUGCCUUGUUUCCAGCCUCCGCUCCUGUUUCCCAGCCUUUGUUUACCUACGGAUCUUGCCUUGUUCCCAGGACUAACCCUUGCCUUGUUUCACGGAUUUUACCAAGUUAUUCCACGGACCUUGUUCUUGUUCCUCGUUACCUUGUUCCACGAUUCAAGCCUUGUUUCAAGUAUCAAGUUAUUUCCUAGCCUUGCUCAAGUUCAUGGACUAAAGGACCUUGUCAUCUCCCCUCACUUUGCCUGGCAAAGUGAGUGUUUCGGUUAUUGGAUUACAACUUUGGACCUUAAUAUUUCAUAUUGGACAUUGUUUCUUUGGACUAAUUUUGACCUUUCCUGAAAGGUCUGCUUCUGGACUAACCUUUACAUUCGCUUUUAUUAACUUUAUAUAUUUCCUUAAUAAAGAUAUUAGAUAGAAUUUGGCCUCUGCGUAUGGUUAUUGGUGCUCUGUAGCCUGGGUCGUGACACACACACACACACACACACACACACACCCAGGAGGGGAGGGUUUCAGAGUGGCCUCACAACCGGCAAUCAUUAGAUGCCAAACACAACAAUUAUAAAACAAUUACAGUUAAAAGCAAAUAGUUAAAAUAUCAAUUAUAAAAACUUUGUUUCUUUUUGCUGAAAACUUCUGGACUGGUCAGCAACCACUCUGCUGUUCCUGCCUUCAACCUGCUAGAUGCCCUAUAUGAACUAGUCAGUACCUGGUUCCUGGGUUACCUGCUGACUGCGACACAAGAUAUUAAUGCUGUGUUGCUGUUCUUCCUUAUUUUUAAAAUUCCAAAAACAUUUUUGAAAUGUAUUGUGUGUUGCCUAUGAUUCUUAAUAUAUUAACUGUAUUUUUCCUCUGUUUAAAUGAAAGCAUGCGUGUGUGGAU
rnacentral:lncRNA from 1 species